rnacentral:lncRNA from 1 species
UUUUUUUUUUUUUUUUUUUUUAGCUAUCGGAUCCCAGUACCUACACAAUGCUUGUGGUCCAUAAAGCCUCUUAGACAUUUUGACAAAAUACACAACCAAGCAAGCUCUUCCCUUUUGCAAACUUGUGCACUUGUUUCUAACCUAAAUAUAGAACUUGACACUGGCCUUUGAUAACCUGUAUCUAGUUUAUUUCCAUCAGUCACAGCAGACUGUUGAGAAGGUUUUACAUCUUGACAGUGGUAACAGCCACCAUUCAGUGGGCACAUACUCUGAGCUAAGUUCUGUGCUUCCUGCUGUUUAUUUCAUUUAAGCCUCACAAUAAUGUGCUUCAAUGGGAAAGUGCUGUUAUCCCUGUCGUAUAAGAAACUGAAGUCAGAAGGGUUAAGUCACCGAACCAAGGUCACAGAGCCAGUGACAAGGAGAUCUCAGAGUUGAAUCAACUUCGACUCCAAGAAUCACAUUCUUAACCCCUAUGCUGAACUGGAUGCAGGUAAAGAAAGGCCAAAUGCUUUAGCUGGCUGGCUAAAGACUCACCAGACCUUCUGAUGCUGCCAGCUCAACUUGUGUGCAUGUGAGUUUGGCUCAAAACUCAAAUUCUUUGCACAGGGUCUGAGAGAGGACCAUCUAUGAGAUGAAUGAUGUCAAGUCAUUACUCAUUAAAUUUCUGUCUUUCCCAUCAAUAUUUUCUUCCUACUCUGUUUCCUAUGCCAGUCACCAUGCCUGGCACAAAGAAAAUGCCCAAGAAACACUUGUUAUGUGAGUGAAUCAGAGAAGAGGAGGAAAGAAGGGAAAGGAAGGAAAAGAAGGAAAAGUAGGCAAGGCAGAUGUGAAGAAGGAAGGGAAAGUGCCGGGGGUCGACGAAGGGGCAGGAGUGAAAGAAAAAAUAGGGGUGGGGGAGUGAUGAACGGGGUGGGAGGGGCAGGAGGAGGUUGGAGUUGGCACAUGCGCAUUGAGAUAUAUGGAAUGAUUGGUCAACAGGGACCUGCUAUAUAGCACAGAGAACUCUACCCAGUAUUCUGUGAUAAUCUAUGUGGGAAAAGAAUCUUAAUGAGAAUGGAUGUGUGUACAGGUAUGACUGAAUCACUUUUCUGUACAGCAGAAAUUAUCACAACCUUUUAAACCAACCAUACUCCAAUAAAACUUUAAAAACUGGAAGAAGAAGGAGUUCCCGUCAUGGCGCAGUGGUUAAUGAAUCCUACUAGAAACCACGAGGUUGGGGGUUCGGUCCCUGCCCUUGCUCAGUGGGUUGACAAUCCGGCGUUGCUGUGAGCUGUGGUGUAGGUUCUGAGUACCAGGCAGCUCUCUGCCACCGUCUCUCCUCUAACCUUCCGAGGACCCAGCAAGGCUGUCGGUAUUGCUGACCCCACUUCACCAUGCGGAAGAGGAGGCUCAGGGAGGCUAAGUGACUUGCCCGGGGUCACAGAGUGGGUAAGUGGCCACCAACAGGAUCUCUGCCCGGAGUCUGACACCGAAGCCGGUGCUUGUAACCAUCUGGCCCCCUCAAGUGGGAAGCCAGAGUCCCGUUCUCUUGGCGCGGAGCUUCGGGGACCCGCGCACGCCCCACUUUCCCUCCCGGGAUGCGCGAGGUGAGCGGAGGGUCUGUUUUGGUCCUGCUCUGGCCGGCACUACCUCGCUGGGGGACCAGCGCGGGUUCCGGGAAGACGCCCGGGCCCUUGGACUUCGUUCUAUCGCCUCGCACUCCCACGUCGCUCGCCCUCUGCCCGCCGCCCAGCCCCGGGCUCUCACCAUCGUCGCUGCUGCCGCCACCUCGUCAGCUCCGGCUCCUCU